UUCCGGUUGAUCCUGCCGGACCUUACUGCUAUCGGGGUGGGGCUAAGACAUGCGAGUCGAGCGUCUCUAGCUAUGUUGAGACGCGGCAGACGGCUCAGUAACACGUGGCUAACCUACCCUCAGGACGAGGAUAAACCCGGGAAACUGGGGCUAAUACUCGAUAGGUGAGUAUGUCUGGAAUGAUUUCUCACUCAAAGGGCUUUAGAAACAUGCUUCUAAAGUCGCCUGGGGAUGGGGCCGCGUCCGAUCAGGUUGUUGGUGAGGUAAUGGCUCACCAAGCCUAUAACCGGUACGGGCCGUGAGAGCGGUAGCCCGGAGAUGGGUACUGAGACAAGGACCCAGGCCCCACGGGGCGCAGCAGUCGCGAAAACUCCGCAAUGCACGAAAGUGUGACGGGGCUACCCCGAGUGCCAUCCGCUGAGGAUGGCUUUUCCUUGGUAUAAUUAGCCGAGGGAAUAAGGAGAGGGCAAGACUGGUGUCAGCCGCCGCGGUAAUACCAGCUCUCCGAGUGGUAGGGAUGAUUAUUGGGCUUAAAGCGUCCGUAGCCGGCUUAGCAAGUCUCCUGUUAAAUUCAGCGACCUAAUCGUUGAGCCGCGGGAGAUACUACUAGGCUAGGAGGCGGGAGAGGUCGACGGUACUUCUGGGGUAGGGGUGAAAUCCUAUAAUCCCGGGAGGACCACCAGUGGCGAAGGCUGUCGACUAGAACGCGCUCGACGGUGAGGGACGAAAGCUGGGGGAGCGAACCGGAUUAGAUACCCGGGUAGUCCCAGCCGUAAACGAUGCGGGCUAGGUGUUGGGGUGGCUACGUGCCACUUCAGUGCCGCAGGGAAGCCAUUAAGCCCGCCGCCUGGGGAGUACGGCCGCAAGGCUGAAACUUAAAGGAAUUGGCGGGGGAGCACCACAAGGCGUGAAGCUUGCGGUUCAAUUGGAUUCAACGCCGGA
rnacentral:rRNA from 1 species